rnacentral:rRNA from 1 species
CAGUAGCCGCGGUAAGACAGAGGAUGCAAGCGUUAUCCGGAAUGAUUGGGCGUAAAGCGUCUGUAGGUGGCUUUUCAAGUCCGCCGUCAAAUCCCAGGGCUCAACCUCGGAAUUGCCUUCGAUACUGGCUGUCUUGAGUAUGAGAGAGGUGUGUGGAACUCCGAGUGUAGAGGUGAAAUUCGUAGAUAUUCGGAAGAACACCAGUGGCGAAGGCGACACACUGGCUCAUUACUGACGCUGAGGCGCGAAAGCGUGGGGAGCAAACAGGAUUAGAUACCCCGGUAGUCCCUGUCUCUUAUAC